rnacentral:rRNA from 1 species
UACGUAGGGGGCAAGCGUUGUCCGGAUUUACUGGGCGUAAAGAGCGUGUAGGCGGCCACGCAGGUCCGUUGUGAAACUGGAGGCUCAACUUCCAGCCGUCGACGGAAACCGUGUGGCUAGAGUCCGGAAGAGGCGAGUGGAAUUCCUGGUGUAGCGGUGAAAUGCGCAGAUAUCAGGAGGAACACCCGUGGCGAAAGCGGCGCACUGGACCAUAACUGACGCUGGAGGCGACGAAAGCUAGGGGAGCAAACAGG